UUGAAAGGGAAACGAUUGAAGUCAGUCGUACCGACGAGAAAUCAGCUUAUCGCGUGUUAGCUUGUGGGCGUGCGUGAGUUUCGGCCUCGCUGUUUGCAUGUUUGUGCGCUUUGGGUGUACUUUAACGUAUGGUUGGCCAACAUCAGUUUCGAUCACUAUGGAUGACUGGCGGAAUGUAGCUUCAAUUUCGGUUGAAGUGUUAUAGCCUCUGGUAGAUGUGGUGAUACGGACUGAGGAUUGCAACGAAUAUCCUUUGGGCUAUCCGUCUGGCCUCUGACCGUUGCUUGGGUGCUGAAAGCUUGCUUAUGGUUAUCUAAGUUAACGGUCAAUAGGUUAGAACGUGAUUACAUUCGUUAAGGAUGUUGACGUA
rnacentral:rRNA from 1 species